AGGACGAACGCUGGCGGCGUGCUUAACACAUGCAAGUCGAGCGGAAAGGGACUUCGGUCCUGAGUAAAGUGGCGCACGGGUGAGUAACACGUGAAUCAUCUACCUCCGAGUGGGGAAUAACCUAGAGAAAAUCUGGGCUAAUACCGCAUAACACUUACGAGUCAAAGCAGCAAUGCGCUUGGAGAGGAGUUCGCGGCAGAUUAGUUAGUUGGCGGGGUAAUGGCCCACCAAGACGAUGAUCUGUA
rnacentral:rRNA from 1 species